AAAAUCCGUCGAAUUGCAAAAUCGUGAGGGUUCAAGUCCCUCUAUCCCCA
rnacentral:tRNA from 1 species